rnacentral:rRNA from 1 species
UACAGAGGUCCCGAGCGUUGUUCGGAUUCACUGGGCGUAAAGGGUGCGUAGGUGGCGUGGUAAGUUUGAUGUGAAAGCUCAGGGCUUAACCCUGAAAUGGCAUUGAAUACUACUGUGCUGGAGGUUUGGAGGGGGGACUGGAAUUCUUGGUGUAGCAGUGAAAUGCGUAGAUAUCAAGAGGAACACCAGUGGCGAAGGCGAGUCCCUGGACAACACCUGACACUGAGGCACGAAAGCUAGGGGAGCAAACAGGAUUAGAUACCCGUG